rnacentral:rRNA from 1 species
GACGAACGCUGGCGGCGUGCUUAACACAUGCAAGUCGAACGGAAAGGCCCUGCUUUUGUGGGGUGCUCGAGUGGCGAACGGGUGAGUAACACGUGAGUAACCUGCCCUUGACUUUGGGAUAACUUCAGGAAACUGGGGCUAAUACCGGAUAGGAGCUCCUGCUGCAUGGUGGGGGUUGGAAAGUUUCGGCGGUUGGGGAUGGACUCGCGGCUUAUCAGCUUGUUGGUGGGGUAGUGGCUUACCAAGGCUUUGACGGGUAGCCGGCCUGAGAGGGUGACCGGCCACAUUGGGACUGAGAUACGGCCCAGACUCCUACGGGAGGCAGCAGUGGGGAAUAUUGCACAAUGGGCGGAAGCCUGAUGCAGCAACGCCGCGUGCGGGAUGACGGCCUUCGGGUUGUAAACCGCUUUCGCCUGUGACGAAGCGUGAGUGACGGUAAUGGGUAAAGAAGCACCGGCUAACUACGUGCCAGCAGCCGCGGUGAUACGUAGGGUGCGAGCGUUGUCCGGAUUUAUUGGGCGUAAAGGGCUCGUAGGUGGUUGAUCGCGUCGGAAGUGUAAUCUUGGGGCUUAACCCUGAGCGUGCUUUCGAUACGGGUUGACUUGAGGAAGGUAGGGGAGAAUGGAAUUCCUGGUGGAGCGGUGGAAUGCGCAGAUAUCAGGAGGAACACCAGUGGCGAAGGCGGUUCUCUGGGCCUUUCCUGACGCUGAGGAGCGAAAGCGUGGGGAGCGAACAGGCUUAGAUACCCUGGUAGUCCACGCUGUAAACGGUGGGUACUAGGUGUGGGGUCCAUUCCACGGGUUCCGUGCCGUAGCUAACGCUUUAAGUACCCCGCCUGGGGAGUACGGCCGCAGGGCUAAAACUCAAAGGAAUUGACGGGGCCCCGCACAAGCGGCGGAGCAUGCGGAUUAAUUCGAUGCAACGCGUAGAACCUUACCUGGGUUUGACAUGGAUCGGGAGUGCUCAGAGAUGGGUGUGCCUCUUUUGGGGUCGGUUCACAGGUGGUGCAUGGCUGUCGUCAGCUCGUGUCGUGAGAUGUUGGGUUAAGUCCCGCAACGAGCGCAACCCUUGUUCACUGUUGCCAGCACGUUAUGGUGGGGACUCAGUGGAGACCGCCGGGGUCAACUCGGAGGGAGGUGGGGAUGACGUCAAGUCAUCAUGCCCCUUAUGUCCAGGGCUUCACGCAUGCUACAAUGGCUGGUACAGAGAGUGGCGAGCCUGUGAGGGUGAGCGAAUCUCGGAAAGCCGGUCUCAGUUCGGAUUGGGGUCUGCAACUCGACCUCAUGAAGUCGGAGUCGCUAGUAAUCGCAGAUCAGCAACGCUGCGGUGAAUACGUUCCCGGGGCU